GUUGGCAUGGACUGGAAGAACCCCGCGGCGGCGGGCGGGAGGUGCUGGGGCCAGGGGAGGCCCCGAGGGACCCCGCCGCCCGGUCUGCGCCCUGAUCCCGCAGGGUCCUGUGGAAAUGCGGUGUCUGCCUCCCCGCCUCCUGCGCUCACACAUGCAGGCCUGGGGCCUGCGGGUCCCGGGGCUCUGAGCCUGCACAGCCCACGGGCCGCAGCCGCAGGCCCCGCACUGGUAGCUUAGGUGGACACGGAGGCUGAGGGGGAGUUUCCAAGGGGCCUGGCCUCACGCUCUGCCCGUCACAGCCGCCACCCCUCACCGGCCCUCCACCCACCCCUAACUCCUUAACCUCUCCCGGCCUCGGUUUCCUCACCUAUUAACUAGAGAUUAGUCAUAGCUACCAUCCAGGCUUGUUAUAUUAAAAUAGAAUAAUUAUGUAAUGUGCCGUGUGCACUCCAAACGCGGUCCUCUUUCCCUGUCCCACACCUCCUUCCUCCUGCAUCAGGCCUGGGGAGGGGGGCGUGCCGAUGUCACCCCCAACCCCCAGGCCUAGAGUCCUGGACACAUGGACGCCCCUGCCAGAGCUCCCCUCCCCGCGCUUGGGGUUACUUUGAACCCCGCCUCCUACAAGAGGAUGGUCCAGCCUAUUGUCGGAACCUGCAGGAAUCCCAGGCUGCGACCCAAGAAUAUUAGCGGAGGCCCAGCCUGGCUGGGGCUCUGCAAGUCCGACCUGGGUGCCCCAGAGAGCUGCUCCGGGAAAGACGUUUACCUGCUGCCCAGAGCUGGGACUGCAGACCCUGAUUGGCGAGGGCUUGGAGAGUAGCUGAGAACCUUCCCUUCAGCUACUGAAGACCAGACAGGGCUUUCUGUAUCACGCUGCCUGACGAUGAUGAGGGUGCAGUGACUAAGAGUGCAGAUGAAAGGCCCAGCUCUCCAACCAGGUGGAUGGAUUUGCAAGGAGCUUCUAUCUGGGCGUGGUGGCUCAUGCCUGUAAUCCCAGCACUUUGGGAGGCUGGUCUUGAACUCCUGACCUCAGGUGAUCCCCCCCACCUUGGCCUCCCAAAGUGCUGGGAUUACAGAGGUGGCUCUUUUAAUUGACUCCUCUCCAGGCAUCUCUCCUUCCAGCCACAGAGCCUGGCCUGAUGGUCCCAGGGCCCCAGGGCCCCAGGUGAAGGCCUCUCUCCUCCCCCACUCAGGUCUGACCAGCUCUGUUUCCAUCCUGGUGUGGGCACAAGGUCUCUUGCUGCAGCUGGGCCAGUUUGCUGACCUUCUCAGCUCCUUCUCUUAGACUGGAGAGGCCUGGAAGGGUGCCCGAGGGAGGGUCUGGGCUGCUCUCCUGGGCUCCUCCCCUCCACUCCAGGACUCUGGCUGGAGCCUGGUCAGGGUCCUUACUGAGUUCUCAGCCAAGCGCCAGCCCUGUGAUGGCCUGAGGGGUCUGGUGGGGAAGCCCCAAAGUGAGGGCUCCAUAGCCCUCACUGUCCCUCCCCCAGCAUUGUGCAGUGCCGGCGGUCUCUGAGUUCUUCUGGGUAGCCUUUCUACCACAUCCUCUUGCCUACUUUCACCAGGUGGCCAAGGGACACUAAAAAAGGCAGUGAAUAGCUAGAGGACCACUCUUGAAAAUCAGCCUGCCUUCCUCCUGGUGCCAGCUCCUGUCCCUCCGGCCUCCUUUUCAUAGAAUUCUACAACAGGAGGAAACAGAGAGGUCAUCUCCUCCACCUUCACCAAGUUUCCAGAACGGAUGGGUUAGAGGGAUCUGGCGUUCUCUGAGGCUUCGGGCCAAACCUUGGACAUUGGGCUGGCCAGAGAUCUUGCUGGGGUUGCCUUGGGAAUUGUAUAUCCAUUGGGAGCACUAGCCCUGAACACCUGGGGCUCCCCACCUGCUAGGAGCUGGGAGGACUCUGGUGUUCCCUGCAACCCCCCAGGGUCUGGGUGGACGGAAUGGCAGCCCAGGACUGUUCCCCAGGCUGACCUGGACUCUGAUGAGAGCCAAGAGUGGACCUAGCUGUCAUUUAGAUCCCUGGGGGAGCCUUCACAGUAGCUGCCAAGCAGAGGUCCUGGCACUGGGGAGGGUUCUCACACGUAGGAGGGGCAGUACUUAAGCAAGUAACAGUGGAGAGGGCACUGGAUUUGACAUCAGCUGAGAGGUGGUCCGUUUCUGCUUCUCUCACUGCUUAUCUGUGAUCUGAGGCAAGCCUAAACUCCUCUACAGCUUAGUUUACUCAUCUGGAAAGUGUGGUAUAUUUUAUUUUACCUGCCUUACAUCUGAGGCAUGGAGGAAGGACGGAAUGAGAUCACCUAUUAAAAUGCAUUUUGAAAAAACAAAAGUGCUAUUUAUGCAAACACAUGGUACUAAAAAUAAAAGAUGCCUGUUUGCUUCUGGAAGUAAAAGUUGUGAAUGAUGCCGGGCGCUGUGGCUCACACCUGUAAUCCCAGCACUUUGGGAGGUCAAGGCGGGUGGAUCACAAGGUCGAGAGAUCGAGACCAACCUGGCCGACAUGGGGAAACCCCAUCUCUACUAAAAAUACCAAAAAAAUUAGCUGAGCACGGUGGCACACGCCUGUAGUCCCAGCUACUCAGGAGGCUGAGGCAGGAGAAUCACUUGAACCCGGGAGGCGGAGGUUGCAGUGAGCCGAGAUUGCGCCAUUGCACUCCUGCACUCCAGCCUGGUGACAGAGCGAGACCAUCCG
rnacentral:lncRNA from 1 species